CUUCGUUGUGCCUUUUCCUCCCAAGCGCCAGCUAUAGCAGGCUCGCUCCGUUUUCCUCAACCGGUUGGCAGGAUUAUGAAGCACCUCUAAAACCUGAAAAGCUUGUCUUACCAAAAGAGAUGGUGGGAUGUAUGUAUACAAGGUUACCUAAAGCAAGAGUUACCAAUGAGGUGCCUGCGGACACCGGCGCGCCUGCCAGUGGCCUGUGGUGUUUGCAAAAAGGUGAAAGCUGGUUUAACUGUUGCUUGGGUUCGUUGCUGACACCUGUGAGGAAGGGCUGGUGUCAGUAGGCAAAAAAGGAAUGAAGACCAUGGUAUUUCCAAUCUCUAUGUAUGGAUGUGAAAGUUGGACAGUGAAAAAAGCGGAUUUGACCCUUCACUUCAGAAAGUGAUUUGAGAAACAAGUAAGAGUGAUUCUCUACCUUUUUCUGUCUACCCUGUGGACUGCUAUAAACUCACUUUGACAGCCAACCCAAUUCCAGUGAGUAAUAAUUGACAGAGAGAAAACACACAUGGAUUGGUCUACCUUCACAGAUAGCAGCUUGGGUACAACAACAAUUGCAGCAACACUUCCCAUUAUUAGAAGAGCUUUGAUCACUUGCAGGAUGUGCCUUAUGGACUGGUGAUGAGUUACAGCACAAGGAACAAAGGAAUUUGCCUCAUACUGACUCAGGCCAUUUGGUACCAUUUAGCUCAGUAUUGAUGAUAUGGACUAGCAUUGGAUCUUCAGGAUUCCAGGCAAUAUUCUUUUCCAGAGAUUGAAUUUUGGACCUCUGCAUGCAAAGCAUGGACCCUACCACUGAACUACAGCCCUUCCGCUGUUUAAAAAAUAAUAGCCAUUCUGAGCCAUGUCUUCAUCACAAGAGAUGUCAGAGGGAUACCAAUAUUGUGCGGAAUUGUUUUCAGGUAGAGCCGCUGAAGAACUGCAUCAAACAA